rnacentral:rRNA from 1 species
GACAGAGGGUGCAAACGUUGUUCGGAAUUACUGGGCGUAAAGGGCUCGUAGGCGGCCAACUAAGUCAGACGUGAAAUCCCUCAGCUUAACUGGGGAACUGCGUCCGAUACUGGAUGGCUUGAGUUCGGUAGGGGAGAUCGGAAUUCCUGGUGUAGCGGUGAAAUGCGCAGAUAUCGGGAGGAACACCAGUGGCGAAGGCGACUACCUGGCCUGUUCUUGACGCUGAGGCGCGAAAGCUAGGGGAGCAAACGGGG